AAUACUUAGGAAUCUACCUAUUAAUGGGGGACAACAUUUCGAAAGGAAUGCUAACACCGCAUACGCCCUACGGGGGAAAGCAGGGGAUCUUCGGACCUUGCGUUAAUAGAUGAGCCUAAGUCGGAUUAGCUAGUUGGUGGGGUAAAGGCCUACCAAGGCGACGAUCUGUAGCGGGUCUGAGAGGAUGAUCCGCCACACUGGGACUGAGACACGGCCCAGACUCCUACGGGAGGCAGCAGUGGGGAAUAUUGGACAAUGGGGGGAACCCUGAUCCAGCCAUGCCGCGUGUGUGAAGAAGGCCUUUUGGUUGUAAAGCACUUUAAGCGAGGAGGAGGCUACUGGUACUAAUACUACCAGCUAGUGGACGUUACUCGCAGAAUAAGCACCGGCUAACUCUGUGCCAGCAGCCGCGGUAAUACAGAGGGUGCGAGCGUUAAUCGGAUUUACUGGGCGUAAAGCGUGCGUAGGCGGCUUUUUAAGUCGGAUGUGAAAUCCCUGAGCUUAACUUAGGAAUUGCAUUCGAUACUGGGAAGCUAGAGUAUGGGAGAGGAUGGUAGAAUUCCAGGUGUAGCGGUGAAAUGCGUAGAGAUCUGGAGG
rnacentral:rRNA from 1 species